AGAGUUUGAUCCUGGCUCAGGAUGAACGCUGGCGGCGUGCCUAAUACAUGCAAGUCGAACGAGGUGCCUUUGUAGCAAUACGAAGGUNUCCUAGUGGCGAACGGGUGAGUAACGCGUUGGUGACCUGCCCCAAAGUGUGGGAUAACAGUCCGAAAGGAUUGCUAAUACCGCAUGUGGUCAUCGGGUUUAGAAGCCGAUGACUAAAGCCGCGAGGCGCUUUGGGAGGGGCCUGCGUCCCAUCAGCUAGUUGGUAGGGUAACGGCCUACCAAGGCUACGACGGGUAGGGGACCUGAGAGGGUGGCCCCCCACAAUGGAACUGAAACACGGUCCAUACACCUACGGGUGGCAGCAGUAGGGAAUAUUGCUCAAUGGGCGAAAGCCUGAAGCAGCAACGCCGCGUGCGCGAUGAAGGUCUUCGGAUCGUAAAGCGCUUUUCUGCGAGAUGAGAAAGGACAGUAUCGCAGGAAUAAGUCUCGGCUAACUACGUGCCAGCAGCCGC
rnacentral:rRNA from 1 species